GUGAACGCUGGCGGUAGGCCUAACACAUGCAAGUCGAACGGCAGCACAGUAAGAGCUUGCUCUUACGGGUGGCGAGUGGCGGACGGGUGAGGAAUACAUCGGAAUCUACUUUUUCGUGGGGGAUAACGUAGGGAAACUUACGCUAAUACCGCAUACGACCUACGGGUGAAAGCAGGGGAUCUUCGGACCUUGCGCGAUUGAAUGAGCCGAUGUCGGAUUAGCUAGUUGGCGGGGUAAAGGCCCACCAAGGCGACGAUCCGUAGCUGGUCUGAGAGGAUGAUCAGCCACACUGGAACUGAGACACGGUCCAGACUCCUACGGGAGGCAGCAGUGGGGAAUAUUGGACAAUGGGCGCAAGCCUGAUCCAGCCAUACCGCGUGGGUGAAGAAGGCCUUCGGGUUGUAAAGCCCUUUUGUUGGGAAAGAAGAGCAGCAGGUUAAUACCCCGCUGUUCUGACGGUACCCAAAGAAUAAGCACCGGCUAACUUCGUG
rnacentral:rRNA from 1 species